rnacentral:rRNA from 1 species
AUCGAACGCUGGCGGCAGGCCUAACACAUGCAAGUCGAACGAGUGGCGGACGGGUGUGUAAUGUCUGUGAACCUGCCUGAUGGAGGGGGAUAACUUCUGGAAACGGUAGCUAAUACCGCAUACCUUCGGUUGUGCCCGGAUGGGCUUAGCAAGUUGGUGGGGUAAAGGUUCCCAAAGGCGACGAUCCCUAGCUGGCCUGAGAGGAUGACCAGCCACACUGGAACGGAGACACGGUCCAGAUUCCUACGGGAGGUAGCAGGGGGGAAGAUUGCAGAAUGGGCGCAAGCCGGAUGCAGCCAUGCCGGGGGUAUGAAGAGGGCUUUGGGGUUGUAAGGUACGUUCAGCGGGGAGGCGUUACCCGCAGAAGAAGCGCCGGCUAACUCCGUGCCAGCAGCCGCGGUAAUAC